rfam:Archaeoglobus veneficus SNP6, complete genome.
GCCGACGGCCAUAGAAGCGGGGGAAACACCCGGACUCAUUCCGAACCCGGAAGUUAAGCCCCGCUUCGUUCCGCGUUGUACUGUGUUCCGAGAGGGCACGGGAAGCGCGGAAGCUGUCGGCU